UACGUAGGUGGCAAGCGUUGUCCGGAUUUACUGGGUGUAAAGGGCGUGCAGCCGGGAAGACAAGUCAGAUGUGAAAUCCCGCGGCUCAACCGCGGAACUGCAUUUGAAACUGUUUUUCUUGAGUACCGGAGAGGUCAUCGGAAUUCCUUGUGUAGCGGUGAAAUGCGUAGAUAUAAGGAAGAACACCAGUGGCGAAGGCGGCUUGCUGGACUGAAACUGACGCUGAGGCUCGAAAGCGUGGGGAGCAAACAGG
rnacentral:rRNA from 1 species